GACGAACGCUGGCGGCGCGCCUAACACAUGCAAGUCGAACGGAGCUGCGAGAAGCUUGCUUUUCUUAGCUUAGUGGCGAACGGGUGAGUAACGCGUGAGUAACCUGCCCUGGAGUGGGGGACAACAGUUGGAAACGACUGCUAAUACCGCAUAAGCCCACGAUCCGGCAUCGGAUUGGGGGAAAAGGAUUUAUUCGCUUCAGGAUGGACUCGCGUCCAAUUAGCUAGUUGGUGAGGUAACGGCCCACCAAGGCGACGAUUGGUAGCCGGACUGAGAGGUUGAACGGCCACAUUGGGACUGAGACACGGCCCAGACUCCUACGGGAGGCAGCAGUGGGGGAUAUUGCACAAUGGGGGAAACCCUGAUGCAGCGACGCCGCGUGGAGGAAGAAGGUUUUCGGAUUGUAAACUCCUGUCGUUAGGGACGAUAAUGACGGUACCUAACAAGAAAGCACCGGCUAACUACGUG
rnacentral:rRNA from 1 species